GACGAAGGAUGCAAGCGUUAUCCGGAUUCAUUGGGUUUAAAGGGAGCGUAGGUGGCCUGAUAAGUCAGUGGUGAAAUCUCUGGGCUCAACCCAGAAAUUGCCAUUGAUACUGUUAGGCUUGAGUAUAGUUGCCGUUGGCGGAAUAUGACAUGUAGUGGUGAAAUACAUAGAGAUGUCAUAGAACACCGAUUGCGAAGGCAGCUAACGAAACUAUAACUGACACUGAGGCUCGAAAGUGCGGGGAUCAAACAGG
rnacentral:rRNA from 1 species